AUUGAACGCUGGCGGCAUGCUUUACACAUGCAAGUCGAACGGUAACAGGCCGCAAGGUGCUGACGAGUGGCGAACGGGUGAGUAAUGCAUCGGAACGUGCCCAGUCGUGGGGGAUAACGCAGCGAAAGCUGUGCUAAUACCGCAUACGAUCUAUGGAUGAAAGCGGGGGACCGUAAGGCCUCGCGCGAUUGGAGCGGCCGAUGUCAGAUUAGGUAGUUGGUGGGGUAAAGGCUCACCAAGCCAACGAUCUGUAGCUGGUCUGAGAGGACGACCAGCCACACUGGGACUGAGACACGGCCCAGACUCCUACGGGAGGCAGCAGUGGGGAAUUUUGGACAAUGGGCGCAAGCCUGAUCCAGCAAUGCCGCGUGCAGGAAGAAGGCCUUCGGGUUGUAAACUGCUUUUGUACGGAACGAAACGGUCUGGGUUAAUACCCUGGGCUAAUGACGGUACCGUAAGAAUAAGCACCGGCUAACUACGUGCCAGCAGCCGCAGUAAUAC
rnacentral:rRNA from 1 species